rnacentral:rRNA from 1 species
UACGAAGGGGGCUAGCGUUGCUCGGAAUCACUGGGCGUAAAGGGUGCGUAGGCGGGUCUUUUAAGUCAGGGGUGAAAUCCUGGAGCUCAACUCCAGAACUGCCUUUGAUACUGAAGAUCUUGAGUUCGGGAGAGGUGAGUGGAACUGCGAGUGUAGAGGUGAAAUUCGUAGAUAUUCGCAAGAACACCAGUGGCGAAGGCGGCUCACUGGCCCGAUAUUGACGCUGAGGUGCGAAAGCGUGGGGAGCAAACAGG